rnacentral:lncRNA from 10 species
UGAUGAUUCUUAUAGACAACACUCUUGUUUUCAUGGAGUUUAGAGAUAAUAAUCAGACAGUAAGCAAACGUAAAUAAAUAAAAAGCACAUUGUGAUAGGUUCUAUACAAGGAAUUAAAGCAAAGUGAUAUAAUGAGAUUGAUGUGUAUGGAGAGGGUUACAUUUUAUUGGGUGUUCAUGAGAGACUUCGUUGGGGUAUGAUAUUUAAGCCCAGCUAUAAGCUGACAAGAAAAACUGCAUGUGAAGUCAGGGAAGAAAAAGUUCAGAAGAUAAAAUAGCUAUGACAAAGGCCUUUGGGCAGAAAUGGAAAGAGUGCCUCAGCUGGAACAGCAUGGCUAAGGAAGGUGAGAUGGUGUCAGAAAGAUGGGCAGAACCAAAUUCUAUAGAAUUUUGUUAUUUUACAAAAAGGUAUGGAAUAUGACUUUUACUUUAAGUGCAAUGGGAAUCCUGGAGUAUUUAAGUGGUGGAGUGAUGACACUGUGUAAUUGGUUUUCACAGUCUUAAUCAUACUAGCAGUAGUGUAAAGUAAGAAUUGCAGGGGACACAGCUGGAAAUGGAGGAAGCUAUAGCAGUGAUUUAGAGCAGGGUGCUGGUAGUAGACAUGGAGACAAGUAAAUAUAUUUGGGUUAUGCUUUGGAAGGUAAAAAUUAAUAAAAUGGACUGAUAGUUUGUUUAGCAGUGGAAAAGAGAAAAAGGAAAAUCGAAGGUAAUCCCUAGAUAUUUGGCUCAAGCAACAACUGGAGUGGGCAGCAGUGCCACAGUUUGAAAUGGAAGAGACUGGGGAAAAAUGAAUUGGUGCUGGGGAAAGAGGAGUUGAGAAUUCUGUUUUGACUUUGUAAAGUUUGAGAUCCAUAUUCUACAUCAAAGUGAAGGUGUCACGUAGUUAGUUGUAUAUUUAAAUUUGGAGUUUCAGGGUGGUGACAGAGCUCCCUGAGAAGUAUAUUUGGGAAUCAUGAGCACAUACGUAGUAUUUAAAACCCUGGGACUGGAUGAGAUCAUUUAAGACAAGUGUGUUUAAAGAAAAAAUAUUCCCCUUAAGCAUUCGAACAUGGAAUAAAUAAGGAGAGGAAGUCCUACAACCUCAAGGAGUUGAAUUCUGUCAUCAACCAGUUGGGUUGGAAGAGAACCCAGAGCUGAUACGAGAGUGCAAUCUGGGCACACACCUUGAUUUCAGCCUGACCCUCUCUGUCUGCGAAGCAAAUCAUCUCUGCUCAUUGGAAUACUGAUUCUAUUUCAUGGAAUGAACUGUUGUCCAAUUUUAGAAUCACAAAUAAAGCCAACUGAGGUAUUUAAGCUAAAUUUGUUGUAAUUUUGUGUUUUGACCAUAGGGAUAGCAAUUGGUAAAUAAGGAAGGGAAAGUAUCUAUACACUUUUUAUCUAAGAACGUAAAUAUGAAUGAAUGAAUUUGGAACUCAGGUUUGCUGAUAGUCUCAUAAAGGGGAGCCCCCCAUACAUGCUCUCUUG